rnacentral:rRNA from 1 species
GAUGAACGCUGGCGGCGUGCUUAACACAUGCAAGUCGAACGAUUAAAGCCCCUUCGGGGGUGUAUAGAGUGGCGAACGGGUGAGUAACACGUGGGCAAUCUGCCCCUCACUUCGGGAUAACUCAGGGAAACCUGAGCUAAUACCGAAUACUCCGGACUGAUCGCAUGGUCGGUCCGGGAAAGCUCCGACGGUGAGGGAUGAGCCCGCGGCCCAUUAGCUUGUUGGUAGGGUAAUGGCCUACCAAGGCAACGAUGGGUAGCCGCGCUGAGAGGCGGAUCGGCCACACUGGGACUGAGACACGGCCCAGACUCCUACGGGAGGCUG